GAUGAACGCUGGCGGCGUGCCUAAUACAUGCAAGUCGAGCGAACGGACGAGAAGCUUGCUUCUCUGAUGUUAGCGGCGGACGGGUGAGUAACACGUGGAUAACCUACCUAUAAGACUGGGAUAACUUCGGGAAACCGUAGCUAAUACCGGAUAAUAUUUUGAACCGCAUGGUUCAAAAGUGAAAGACGGUCUUGCUGUCACUUAUAGAUGGAUCCGCGCUGCAUUAGCUAGUUGGUAAGGUAACGGCUUACCAAGGCAACGAUGCAUAGCCGACCUGAGAGGGUGAUCGGCCACACUGGAACUGAGACACGGUCCAGACUCCUACGGGAGGCAGCAGUAGGGAAUCUUCCGCAAUGGGCGAAAGCCUGACGGAGCAACGCCGCAUGAGUGAUGAAGGUCUUCGGAUCGUAAAACUCUGUUAUUAGGGAAGAACAUAUGUGUAAGUAACUGUGCACAUCUUGACGGUACCUAAUCAGAAAGCCACGGCUAACUACGUG
rnacentral:rRNA from 1 species